GCCCCUUUCAGUCGCGCACACGAUAAAACUUAAAUAACACCAAGAAGCUUAGCAUGUCUCCUGUUUAAGGAUGGCAUGCAAAUUUGACAAGUGUUCCCUAUUUAA
ensembl:snRNA U6 U6 spliceosomal RNA